GAGAAAGACAGAGGAAGGAACUUAUUGAGAGUGAAGAUCGAGGAGUGAAGAAAGAAGUAAGAAAGGAUUGGAGUGAUUGAGUUGCAGUGAUUCAUCUAUGGCCAUUGAAUGCCUGCUGGCCAGACUUAUAGAAAAGGAGGAAAUGUGUUGGAAGAACAAACAACCCGAGGAAAAGCUGGAACCAG
rnacentral:lncRNA from 1 species